UACAGAGGGUGCGAGCGUUAAUCGGAAUUACUGGGCGUAAAGCGCGCGUAGGCGGCUUUUCAAGUCGAUUGUGAAAUCCCCGGGCUCAACCUGGGAACUGCAGUCGAGACUGUCUAGCUAGAGUAUGGGAGAGGGAAGUGGAAUUUCAGGUGUAGCGGUGAAAUGCGUAGAGAUGUGGAGGAACACCAGUGGCGAAGGCGACUCUUUGGUCUGUAACUGACGCUGAGGCGCGAAAGCGUGGGGAGCAAACAGG
rnacentral:rRNA from 1 species